rnacentral:lncRNA from 1 species
GAACAUUGCGGGAACCCGUCCAGAAUCCAGGCACCCAGAGAGAAAGUAACAAAGGGCCAAAAUGUGAGUGCUGGUCACAUCUAUGGCUCAGUAAAUGAGGAUUCAGACUCCAGUGAGAUUUGUCAUCUUUACUGAGAAUCAUAACAUCAUUCCUCUAGUCCUCAUCCCUCAUCCUCUAAUCUGCUCACAGAACUAUCAUUUCAGAGCUGAACAUAGUGGACUGGAAGCAUGCCAGAGAUAAAAUUGGAAAAGCAAAUGUAACAGGUUCCUUUGGGGUCCAGAAUCAUGCAUCAUAUGAGAUCUGAGGGGUGGCUCUGAUGAAUGAGUAAAAAUGAAUACUGCUGAUCAUCUGACUUCCAGUAUGGUGAGUCAUUUCAUUUCACUAAUUAAAGGAAGAAUUGAGGAGAGCUCAAAGGACUCCUAGACAAAAUUUGGGCAUUCAAGAGGUAUUGAGGAGGAAGCACACAGCUCUCUUGCAGAAGCAUGAGCCCUCCAUGCCUAUACAUUUCUCCCCAACCUUUCAUUUUCUUUUUAUUACCAACAUCAUCCUCUGAUGAGAUUAGGAAUGUCUGAAAAAGAAGGAUGGAGGAAAAGAGCUACUGGGCAAUUGUAUUUCUGGAUGGGUGAAGCAACAUGGGGAUUAGUGAUUUAAGUUUCAACUUUAAGAGAAUUUGAUCCUUCUACCACCCCUGACUUCCACAAAGUACAAGAAUCUGUGCUUAUCAGAAUGUCUGACAUAGGUAGCAAUCCUUAUCUCUGUAAGGCUCUUACUUUGCUUUAAUUCCACCCACAAUGAGAGUUACAGCAGGGGUAGAUGAGCUGUUUUUCUCAUUUCAUUCUGAUCUAGAACCAGAGAACAAGGUAGAACACACACUCUAUGCCUCGAACAAGACACUUUUUUAUGUAAAUCAUGGUUGGAAGGGGUGACCAGUGGGAUACUUUACCUUGAACCUAGCAUAUAGCCCAAGAGAGCCCAUUCUCUAAGUGUACCCUUCUUCUCUCCUCCUCUCCUUAGUUAGGCAUGUACUUUCAACAACUUUAUGCAUUUUUACUAACUUUCAAGUUGUAGCUCAUGACUCUAUGCACAGUAAGUGAUAUAUCCCUGUCAUAUAAAGUGAUAAAGUUCUGUCCCUGAGUCUUCAAUACAACUAGAACCAGGUUAAAUAACAGAUAUAAUCAAGUGACGCAGUAGGUAAAAAACAAAAUUAUAAAACAUUUAUGCAAGAUGAAAGAUGAGGCAGCAAACGUUAAUAUGUUUAUUCUAGUGGGGUAAUGUCAAAAGAAUACCAAGAAAGUAUUUUAUUUUAUUUUUAAAAUCUUUUAACUCAUUCUUUGGUAAUUGUGUAUACAUGAACAACCUAUCUUGAUCUAAACUAUAGCCAGCAUCUCCUUUUUCCUCCUUGAACUUCCUUUUUCAUACUAAGUAACCACAAAUUCACAAAAAUGUGAGGUAAAACAAAAAACUGUGCAUCUAAAUAUAUGUAAGACACAGCAAAUCAUAGGUCAUAGGAAAUAAAUAUUAGUAAAAAUCAGUGACUUAUCAGCAGUUUUCUUAGUCAUCAAUAAGGUGAUUUGAAAAUAUAUAGCAACAUAAAGAAAGUUUAAUAUCCAAACUUAACUUUAAGAAAAAAAUUAAAAGUUAAGUGACAUACAUUGUUUGAUUUCAAGGUUUCUAAAUACAUGUAAUCAUUUAUUCAUGUAAUCAAUUAAAAAAAGGGACAUCUCUGAAGUAUUCCUACUAGACUGUGUUCACUAGAUAAUUCUAAUUACACUAACAAAAUUCUAAAUUAAUGAUGGUGUCUCAAUCAUAUUCAGUAGAAAAGAAAGUGGGUAUUCAUAGGUGUACAUUUAAUAAAGUAAAGAUUGCUGACUCACCCUUCAAACCCUAUACAUAAGUUCAUUCCAAAUUCAUUCAAAAGUGUCAAACACAACUAUGUGAUUGAAAAGUGAAUAAUUUUGAAGAGUUAAAGAAUAUCGAUAUGCUUAUUAACCAUAUGAAUAAGUAAUUCUCACAUUACACACAAAAUCCAUUGCCUUAUUCCACCCUCUGGAGAAAUCUCUGAAAGUUUCCUAUGAAUUUAAUUCCACAUUAACAUGUUAUUAGACAUUGAUCAGUAAUCCUCCUAGGGAACUGGAAACAUAUUCCAGGAAGUAUUGCAGAUGUGCCUUAAUUUUGGAUGGAGAAUAUACCACAUUUAUGCCAUGUAGACUAACAAGUACCACGGCUGAACACUAAAUAAUAGGGACUAAAUCACAUCCAUCAAUCAUUGGUAAAAUUAUCGAAUGCAAAGACCAUUUGCUGAACAGUAAAGUUCAUGAGAUAGUACAGCUGACUAGGAGCAGGGUCCACCAUAGGGACCCUGCUUUUCAGCAUCCCAAACGAGUAUCAUCGAACUUCUUGUCUUAGGAUUUUCCAGGGAGACUUAACUGAGGAGAUCCACUCAAAAUGUUCGUGAGAAAAUCUAUGAGUGGGAGUAUUGGUCUAAAUAGAAAAGGGAUGAGAGAUGCAGAGAGAACCCUUACAUUCAACUCUGUCUGCUUUCUGGCUAUAAGUAUAACAUGACCAAUUUCUUCACACACCUGUCCUAAUACCUUUCUACUAUGGUUUUCUGUAUCCCACAAAGUAUACUUCCAAAUAAACCAUUCUUUCCCUAAAUUGUGUUUGACUAGAGUUUGAUUAUGGAAACGAGAAAAGUAAUUAGCAUAUGCUUUUAUUGGAUGAGAAUCACAUUUGCAGAACAGGAAGUCAAAAAUUAACCUAAAACACUGUUACGUUCUGAAAUAACUUGUACCCAGGAACAUUUUAAUGUUGCAGAACAUUUUAAAACAUGUGCUCUGUUUAAUGUUUUUUUUUCAAUUGCAUACAAUCUGAGUCAUUUGAGAAGAGGUUCGCUUAAUUGGGAUAAAAUCUCCCCUAUAUUGGUCUGUGGUAAAUUUUGUUGAUUAAUGUUUAAUGUGAGACUACCUAGCCAAGCAUGGCCAUUGACAGACCUAGGCUGGUGGUCAUAGUGGUAAAAAAACAUCAAAUGAAGCAAGCCAUGGAAAUCAAAGUCCAGAAAACAUUGUUCUGGCUCCUACUUUAGUUCAUGCCUCCAGAUACCUGCCUUGCUUCAGACUCUGAACUGAUUUCCUCAGAAAUGAACCAUUACCUGGAACUGUAAGAUUCACAGCAAUCGAAAGUCUAAGACAUCACCCAAAUACCCAUCAAGUAACAAAUGCUUAAAUUUUGUUCUAAUCAUAAUGUAUUAUUGAGCUAUAAGUAGGAAUCCACUUAUAUGAAGCAACACACAUAAAUGUAAACAGGUCUGGCCUAAUUGAAAUAGCAUAGAUGCUGGAAACUUAGGUCAAAUGACAAGGGGAUUAUCUGCUAUUAACAGACUGUAAAAUCUACCACAAUAUAAUUCAUAAAUAACCAAUGUUCAUUCAGAUAGGCUUCAAGUUUAGCUCUGUAAUACAGUAGUCCCAAAGCAAGCACAGGAAAUUGUGUUUACCAUUAGCCUCGAAAACAAAAAAUAAAAUGAAAAAGAGAGGAGACAGCAUUUUUAUAUCAAUACAAGAACAUAGAAUAAUGGGAAAGUAAUAUAUCAGAGUCUGAUAAGUGGAAAUAAUCAAUAAAGCACCAAAGGGAUUUCUGGAAAUGAUAAAAUAUUCUGAAUCUUUAAAAUGGUGAUCGGGAGACAGUAAAUCUGAGCUAUUUAACAAAACAGGGCAUAUUUAAGAAAGGACAUGUGUAACAACAUGGAAAUGGUAC